rnacentral:rRNA from 1 species
UACGGGGGGGGCAAGCGUUGUUCGGAAUUACUGGGCGUAAAGGGCUCGUAGGUGGCCAACUAAGUCAGACGUGAAAUCCCCAGGCUUAACCUGGGAACUGCGUCUGAUACUGGAUGGCUUGAAUUCGGGAGAGGGAUGCAGAAUUCCAGGUGUAGCGGUGAAAUGCGUAGAUAUCUGGAGGAACACCGGUGGCGAAGGCGGCAUCCUGGACCAACACUGACACUGAGGAGCGAAAGCCAGGGGAGCAAACGGG